GACGAACGCUGGCGGCGUGCUUAACACAUGCAAGUCGAACGGAAGGGCCCUGCUUUUGUGGGGUGCUCGAGUGGCGAACGGGUGAGUAACACGUGAGUAACCUGCCCUUGACUUUGGGAUAACUUCAGGAAACUGGGGCUAAUACCGGAUAGGAGCUCCUGCUGCAUGGUGGGGGUUGGAAAGUUUCGGCGGUUGGGGAUGGACUCGCGGCUUAUCAGCUUGUUGGUGGGGUAGUGGCUUACCAAGGCUUUGACGGGUAGCCGGCCUGAGAGGGUGACCGGCCACAUUGGGACUGAGAUACGGCCCAGACUCCUACGGGAGGCAGCAGUGGGGAAUAUUGCACAAUGGGCGGAAGCCUGAUGCAGCAACGCCGCGUGCGGGAUGACGGCCUUCGGGUUGUAAACCGCUUUCGCCUGUGACGAAUCGUGAGUGACGGUAAUGGGUAAAGAAGCACCGGCUAACUACGUG
rnacentral:rRNA from 1 species